rnacentral:rRNA from 1 species
GACGAACGCUGGCGGCGUGCUUAACACAUGCAAGUCGAACGGAAAGGCCCUGCUUUUGUGGGGUGCUCGAGUGGCGAACGGGUGAGUAACACGUGAGUAACCUGCCCUUGACUUUGGGAUAACUUCAGGAAACUGGGGCUAAUACCGGAUAGGAGCUCCUGCUGCAUGGUGGGGGUUGGAAAGUUUCGGCGGUUGGGGCUGGAAUCGCGGCUUAUCAGCUUGUUGGUGGGGUAGUGGCUUACCAAGGCUUUGACGGGUAGCCGGCCUGAGAGGGUGACCGGCCACAUGGGGACUGAGAUACGGCCCAGACUCCUACGGGAGGCAGCAGUGGGGAAUAUUGCACAAUGGGCGGAAGCCUGAUGCAGCAACGCCGCGUUCGGGAUGACGGCCUUCGGGUUGUAAACCGCUUUCGCCUGUGACGAAGCGUGAGUGACGGUAAUUGGUAAAGAAGCACCGGCUAACUACGUG